GACAUGAUGUUCCGUGCCUCGUGUGACAUUCUGAGCGUAAGGGACAAACUGCUCUCCCAGCUCUUUGUCUUUGCUGUGAAAAAGAGAACCAGAAGGUGUGUUAGUUCACUUCUGAAUCUUACAGAGAACCUGAAGGUGUGUUAGUUCACUUCGGCAUCUUACAGAGAGCCUGAAGGUGUUAGUUCACUUUGCCAGUUUACAGGCAAAGACCUCUGUCAUCUACCCAGUGCAGUGAGACCAACACAAGUUCAGCUCGCUAAGGUUACUCCCUACAACAAGUUCAGCUCGCUAAGGUUACUCCCUACAACAAGUUCAGCUCGCUAAGGUUACUCCCUACAACAAGUUCAGCUCGCUAAGGUUACUCCCUAGGCUUUGUGUAACUCCACAGCAUAUUAUGCAAAUGGGCGCCAGUGACAAUGACAGCUCGAACAGAUAAUCAUCUUUGGUUCUCAUUUUCAUCUUAUCUCUACAUGAUCUUGUCCAUUUGCAGGAGCUGCUUAGCAUGAACGGAGAACGGUAAAUUCAUCUGAUAUUUACUUCACUGAUAGUGUAGAUGUGAGGGUCACUGCCCUCUCUAGCG
ensembl:lncRNA